GCCUCCGUAGCUCAGUGGAUAGAGCAACGGUUUCCUAAACCGCAGGUCGCAGGUUCGAUUCCUGCCGGGGGCG
rnacentral:tRNA from 1 species